UCCUGCACCUUUUGGUUGUCCACUUUUUACAAAGCUUGUAUCCACCCACUCUGUCUGUCUGUCUGUUCAAAAGCUUUUACAUAUUUUUUCUGCCACAUCCAUUUUCGGAUUAAUUUGAAACUGCACAAUUAUUCAUUAGCAUAGACAAGACAUGAAUCAAUAAAAAAAAGUUAAUCAUUUGUUUAUUAAUUAUUGGUAAUUAAUUAUUUUGUUUGAUACCAACAAAGGAAAUUAAUCCUUUAGUAUUUACAGAUAUGGCUAAAUGUGUAGGGUUUGGUCUUCUUAGAUAAUAGAUAAUUGUAAAUGUCAUUUCUCCCACACCCAUUCUUGGAUCAAGUUGAAACUUUAAACAAUCAUUUAUUGUACCUAACAAAACAUGAAUUAAUAAAAAAAUAUCUAACUAUUAAUUAAUUAUUGGUAUUAACUAUUUUGUUUUAUAUCAAAUUAAAUAAGGAAAUAACUUCUACAUAUUGAAAGAUAUUGUAGUGUGGAGUUCUCCUUUAGAUAAGCUUUGUUUUUUUUUUCAAGGAUUUUUUCAUGUUUGCUUGUUUCUCUUGUUUGUUAUGGUAUACUUUUAGAUGACUUCUUUGCAGUCAUCUUCCUUGUUCCCAGUCAUGUUGCUCUCUUGUUACCUGACAAUGUGAUAUUUGUACAUAUUAAUACUGCUGUGGAUUUCUCUGCACCAAUCAUGAUAGUUUGUUUUUUUCACACAUUCUUACAGUUUAAGCAGUUUUGUGUUUUUAGUGUGUGUCACAUGGUAUGACUUUAAUUGAAAUGAGCAGUCAGUUGGUUUGAAUGUAAACUGAAAAUUGCCACACACCAUAUUUGGAAUGCUGGUCUGGACAGUCAAUUUUUAUUUCCUGAAAAAUGUUAACAUGAGCCCUCUUUUUAAAGUCUCAUUUUUUUUACUUUCUCGCUAAAUUUUUUCACUUUAUACUAUUUCACUUUAUCACUGAAUGAUGUCUGCUUUUAGAUGACACAUCUCCUUUUACACUGUUAUUGUCAAACUUUCUUGAUCUUAAUUUGGGUAUUACAUGCCUACUAAAAUAAAAAAAUAUAUUACAGGUGAUAUAGUUUGUUCUAUAACAGGUAGAUUGAUCUGAUGCCAAUUAUUAACAUGAGUAUGAAGCAAUCAUUCUAAUGAUCCACCACACUUUACUUCUACUCAGAAGAUGUCAGCACAGGAUUGACUUUAUUCACUUCCAGAAUAAAAAUCCCAACCGCACAAAGAUUUAAACUAAAGACGACUCUCAUUUUGAAGGCAAACUCUUAUUGUCACAUUGACUUCUUAUCCAAAAAUGUAAAACCAGUAUAAUCACUUAUGCAAAUCUUACUCAAAAACACGUCAAUGUUUCACUAGUGAAUAGACUUUUUUAUAUGGUCUAAUUAGUUAAGAGAAGACAUUUAAAAACAUUUAAUUUUAGAGAUCUUAUAAAAGAAAGAUUCAUCCUUUCACCAAUCCAUUUAUUGAUGACAGACAUGUAUAGUAUUAUGUUUAGUGUAUUUUAUAAGUAAUAUAAAUUGAUUUUUGAUCAAAAUCAUUUGUUCAAAUUCAUCCUGUCACUGAUUCAUGAUUUAACUAGUUAAAUUCAGAUUAUUAUGGCAGAUAUAUGGUUGAUUUUUCUUUCAAAGCUAUUGAACAAUCCUUGUCACCACUUGCAAUAGUUCUUGUAAAUGGUUUAUUUAUGAGUAUCCAGUCCUUUCAAUCAUUUUAUUUUCAAUUCAGCACAAAAAUUUACUUGUCUUUAUCAAGGAAAAAAUUUGUGUCUUUUGUGUAAACUUUGGCUACUGUCUUACAGUACAUUACACAUUGUAGUUAGCAUUUUUCUCCACUGUAAGAAGAAUCCAUGUCAUCAUUUUUUAAAUACUUCAUAUUUAUACCCUAUUAUUUCAUUGGCUUUAAGGAUCAUGACAUUUUGAGGUAGCUUAAAGUUUCUCAUGUUGGGACAAAAUGUGUGCAUUUAAUUCACUUUAAUUAAUUAUGCUGAUUUUUUCUUACUUUCAAUGCUUUCAUUUUUUUUUGUAAAUAAAGUUUUGAAAGUAUUUUAGCUUUUUAAUUUUGUUGUACAUGUUUACUGAUUGAAUUUCAAAAUGAUGCA